UCGANGGCAGCGCGGGGCAACCUGGCGGCGAGUGGCGAACGGGUGAGUAAUAUAUCGGAACGUACCCUGGAGUGGGGGAUAACGUAGCGAAAGUUACGCUAAUACCGCAUACGAUCUAAGGAUGAAAGUGGGGGAUCGCAAGACCUCAUGCUCCUGGAGCGGCCGAUAUCUGAUUAGCUAGUUGGUGGGGUAAAGGCCUACCAAGGCAUCGAUCAGUAGCUGGUCUGAGAGGACGACCAGCCACACUGGAACUGAGACACGGUCCAGACUCCUACGGGAGGCAGCAGUGGGGAAUUUUGGACAAUGGGCGAAAGCCUGAUCCAGCAAUGCCGCGUGAGUGAAGAAGGCCUUCGGGUUGUAAAGCUCUUUUGUCAGGGAAGAAACGGUGAGGGCUAAUAUCCCUUGCUAAUGACGGUACCUGAAGAAUAAGCACCGGCUAACUACGUGCCAGCAGCCGCGGUAAUACGUAGGGUGCAAGCGUUAAUCGGAAUUACUGGGCGUAAAGCGUGCGCAGGCGGUUUUGUAAGUCUGUCGUGAAAUCCCCGGGCUCAACCUGGGAAUUGCGAUGGAGACUGCAAGGCUAGAAUCUGGCAGAGGGGGGUAGAAUUCCACGUGUAGCAGUGAAAUGCGUAGAGAUGUGGAGGAACACCGAUGGCGAAGGCAGCCCCCUGGGUCAAGAUUGACGCUCAUGCACGAAAGCGUGGGGAGCAAACAGGAUUAGAUACCCUGGUAGUCCACGCCCUAAACGAUGUCUACUAGUUGUCGGGUUUUAAUUAACUUGGUAACGCAGCUAACGCGUGAAGUAGACCGCCUGGGGANUACNGUCGCAAGAUUAAAACUCAAAGGAAUUGACGGGGACCCGCACAAGCGGUGGNNGAUGUGGAUUAAUUCGAUGCAACGCGAAAAACCUUACCUACCCUUGAC
rnacentral:rRNA from 1 species